GUGCGGGCGGCAGCUUACACAUGCAGUCGAGCGGGGAAGGGUAGGCUUUGCGUACCUGACCUAGCGGCGGACGGGUGAGUAAUGCUUAGGAAUCUGCCUAUUAGUGGGGGACAACAUUCCGAAAGGAAUGCUAAUACCGCAUACGCCCUACGGGGGAAAGCAGGGGAUCUUCGGACCUUGCGCUAAUAGAUGAGCCUAAGUCAGAUUAGCUAGUUGGUGGGGUAAAGGCCUACCAAGGCGACGAUCUGUAGCGGGUCUGAGAGGAUGAUCCGCCACACUGGGACUGAGACACGGCCCAGACUCCUACGGGAGGCAGCAGUGGGGAAUAUUGGACAAUGGGCGAAAGCCUGAUCCAGCCAUGCCGCGUGUGUGAAGAAGGCCUUUUGGUUGUAAAGCACUUUAAGCGAGGAGGAGGCUACUGGGAUUAAUACUCUGGGAUAGUGGACGUUACUCGCAGAAUAAGCACCGGCUAACUCUGUGCCAGCAGCCGCGGUAAUACAGAGGGUGCGAGCGUUAAUCGGAUUUACUGGGCGUAAAGCGUGCGUAGGCGGCUUUUUAAGUCGGAUGUGAAAUCCCUGAGCUUAACUUAGGAAUUGCAUUCGAUACUGGGAAGCUAGAGUAUGGGAGAGGAUGGUAGAAUUCCAGGUGUAGCGGUGAAAUGCGUAGAGAUCUGGAGGAAUACCGAUGGCGAAGGCAGCCAUCUGGCCUAAUACUGACGCUGAGGUACGAAAGCAUGGGGAGCAAACAGGAUUAGAUACCCUGGUAGUCCAUGCCGUAAACGAUGUCUACUAGCCGUUGGGGCCUUUGAGGCUUUAGUGGCGCAGCUAACGCGAUAAGUAGACCGCCUGGGGAGUACGGUCGCAAGACUAAAACUCAAAUGAAUUGACGGGGGCCCGCACAAGCGGUGGAGCAUGUGGUUUAAUUCGAUGCAACGCGAAGAACC
rnacentral:rRNA from 1 species